rnacentral:rRNA from 1 species
UACAGAGGUCUCAAGCGUUGUUCGGAUUCAUUGGGCGUAAAGGGCGCGUAGGCGGCGGGGUAAGUCGGGUGUGAAAUCUCAGAGCUCAACUCUGAAAUGGCACUUGAUACUGCUCUGCUAGAGGACUGGAGAGGAGAUUGGAAUUCACGGUGUAGCAGUGAAAUGCGUAGAUAUCGUGAGGAAGACCAGUGGCGAAGGCGGGUCUCUGGACAGUUCCUGACACUGAGGCACGAAGGCCAGGGGAGCAAACGGG